GCACCGUGAACGGCGAGGUUUCCAUUGUUCAGAGACCCAUGUUUCGUUUAUUGGAGGUUGCUACCAAGGAAUACCAGGCCCAUUGCGCUCAAGCAGACGUUCCUGCUGAUGUAAGAAUCGUCCCGCUGAGGUGCAAGGAGCUAUCGGUGUGCGCCCACAUGCCUUUUACAACAGUGCAGGGUUGCAUAAAUGAGACUGCGAUGGCAUUCUUCCAGGCCAUCUCAAAAAGGCAGGACGUGGACUUUACCUUCAAGGCCAUUGGCAUUCUCUCCAUCCAAAACAAGGAAGUGACCAUGAGACUUUAUGAGGACUUUCUCCUCACGGUGGACGGCACUGGAAAGCUGCUGGAAGCCCUUCUCAGGCCUGAAAAGCAAGGGAUGUGCAAGGCAUGCUGCUCCUUUUGGCUCUCCAGCAAAACAGCUGUGGCUUCAACACCUCUUCCAAGAUCUAAAAAUAUUAUACUCUGCAGCCGCACAGCAUCAAAAGGCAGCAGCACAUUUCAAAGGCUGUUUCCUAGCCCACUGGGAACAGUCUGUUUUGAACAUGAAGAUUUUACAAGGCCUCCAAAUGUGCAGCAAUGGUGCAAUAAAAAUGUCCUGAAGCCACUAGGGCAUUUUAUGCUGCAGCUUCACAGUGACUUUUACGCUGUGGCUUUGUGGUGACUUUUUGCUGCUGCUGCUGGAAACUUUUCCGUGAUAGGGAGCAGCUGGGCUCAGCUACUGCUGGGAAAUAACAGAGCUGAAGUUAAAUGCUUGCCAGUGUGGGAAGGAUGCCGUGUCCAUGAAGGAGUUCAGUGAGGUGAGACACGUCCUGAGGAGCACUGAAUACUCUUGGAAUAAGAAGAAAAUGAUCUAAUCUUGCUGCAAGGUGCUGUCAGACUUGGCCUGGAGAGGAGGGGUCCAUGCCUCAUGCACAUCUCACAAAUCUAUCCAACAACCUCUGACCUCUCACAGCACAAACCACCAUGGGUUCCACACACCAGGGCUAGUCCUUGGGGGCAGUUCUCAGCAACCCUAACCCUAUUCCAGUCCUCUUUCCUUUGCAGUGUUCAACUACUGGAAAGCCUACUUUAAGCAAAGGGUUAUUUGUUUAGGACCAAAUCAAGCCAGCAAAAAAGAAAUCUGAACAAUAAAUACGUUCUCCAAAUGUGAAACCUGAUACCUGCUUCAACCUUCUCCUGGGAACUGGUGUCAUUGUAGGAGGUGUUUCCAUGCAAAUUUCCCUCUAGCAUGAAAUGUCAAUUACUAAACAAAUUCCACAUCCUUCUUAGGCAUCAUUUUUAAAAACACAGGAGCGAGCAAUGGUGGGAAGGCCGGGUGAGAGAGAGGGCAGUGGUGACUGGCUGCCCCUGAGUGAAUGGAAAUGAAAGAAGGAAGCAAUCGCUUUCAAAGUGAAACAGGUUGCCUGUGUGGGCUGAAGUGCCCGCAUCCUCUGCCUACUUGACCCAACUGUUGUCCAAAAAGCGGAUUCGUUGCCCGGUGUGCAAUAAGCCAAUAAUUACACACUCAGGAGAGACAUUUGU